GUGGCAUCAUGUUGGAUGCAGCAACUCUCUGGGAUUGGCAUUUUUCCCGUCUGUACCUUUUUUGCAAAAGGAUUACAGGAAUGCAAACUUCAGUUGACAAAUGCCAGUUGAUCACUUGAAUUUUCAUUUGCAUGACAGGUUCUCGGUACUGUGUAAGCCCAGGGUCCUCCUGGGUGAGCAGCAGUGACAAUUCACUUUGCAGCAGUGGUUCUCAACCCCGACUGCACAUCAGAAGCAUCUCGAGAGCUUUAAAAACAAUUACUUGUAGCAGGUGAAAAAGCCAUUAUCUUGACAACUGCCACCAGAGUUCCUCUUAGGGAAGGGAACUUUCUGUUUAGGAAAACAUCUUGAGAUUAAGAGUGAGAAGGGAACAGCCUCUGGAGAUCAAGAUUAAAAGAUCUGGAGCACAGAAAUAGCUAAUUGUUGUAAGUAAGCAAUAAGCUGGAAUUGGGGGUACAGGAUAGAGAACGAAAGAAAAGGGAGGAAGAGGGAGGGAAAAGAGAAAGACCAGAUGACAGGAGAGGAGGAUGGAGCCUGAAGAGAAAGGUGUCCCAUGGAGGGAAAUCCCUAAGGCCAGGGGAUGCGUUCAUUUGCUAGGACCACCAUAACACAGUGCUGCACGCUGGGUGACUUAAACGAAAGAAAUUUAUUGUCUCCUAGUUCUUAAUCUACAAGUCCAAGACUAAGGUGUCAGCAGCAUUGGUCCCUCUAAGGGCCACAAGGGAGAAUCUGGUCCAAGCUCCUCAACUUGGCUUGUAGUUGGCCACCUUCAUGCUUACAUGGCGCUCUCCCUGUAUGUGCACCUGUGCCCACAUUUCCUCUUCUUAUAAAGGUAUCAGUCAUAGUAGAUUAGGGCCCACCCUCACGACCUUAUUUUAACUCAUUACCUCUGUAAAGAUUCUAAAAGGUCACAUUCCAAAGGGAUUAGGACUCCAACAUAUCUUUUUUGGUGGGACACAAUUCAACCCAUAACAAUGGGCCAAAGAGUAUACAGUGAUGUAUAAUAUUCAAGGCAGAGUUGUUUGUGUUCUGGGGUAAACCUCUAUUUCCUCAGAGGGAAAUCACUGGGGAUUUGAGGUCUGGCAGCCAAGAGCAUCGUGCCCAUGUCCACCCUCCACUGCCAGCCGGAAGGUGAGGAACAGUGAUCAGAGGCAAAGGAAGCCUUCGCACAGGUUAGCGGAGAGGCGCCAGGAAGCAACUGUGCUGAGACCAAAACUUUUUUCCCAAAUAGAUAAUCUCAGAAAGAAGGGAAAUUGCCAUCAGAGCCACAUAUAGACAUACAAUCGGGCCCCACCAGACCUACAGAAUCAGAAUCUGAGGAAUCUAAGAGUUUCUAAACCCCCAAAGUGAUGCUGACUCUGAGUUUCAGAACCACUGCAAUCACCUAACAAAGAAAAGGGUCAGGUCACAUCUGUUUUCUCUGGAACUGUUUAGCCCUAAUUUUAGUUCAAUUCUUCACCCUCAUUACCUCCCAAGGUAUAGAAUCUCCCAAAAGUGACCAAUCAUAGAAUUGACACCAUUUUCAAAAUGGCGGCCCUCUGUCUCCCCAAAAUUAUGGCUGAAUUAUUUGGGAAAGGGGAUGUCAUGUCUUUUGAAAUCCACCCCAGCUCUUCUUUGGAUUGAAUCGUUUCUCAUAGAGUCUUGUCAGAGGAUUCAAGUAGGUUUCAGAUGCAACUCUUGCCCUGCUGAUCAUUUUCACAAUGUUUGAUAGGACUGAGAGAUGGCCAAGACCGCCUACAGUUUUGUGCUGUAUUCACUGAUUUUUUUUUUUAACAAAUUGCUGCUUGAAAAGAGAUGGGCAAGCCAAAUGAUCUUUCCAGUGUGAAGAUAAACCAAGCCAGGCUGAAGCGGUGAGGACCGAUCGUAAUUGGUGAUAUAUAUCCUAUUGCAGGAGGGAAAAAGCACAGCGUGAACUGAACUAAGUGAAUGAACUCUGAUUUGUCCAGAGGUCACGGGACGGGACGUUUUCAAGGAGGAAUGAGGGGAUGGGGAGGGCAGUGAGUCGGGGCUCAGCAGGGUCAGGAAAGUGAAAAAUUACAAAAAGGGGAAGGAGGUUGGUCCCUGUGAAAGCUCUCUGGGUUUGCUACCUGGGGCUUCUCCAAGCUAGGGUCCUCCCCUCCCACAGGGGCCCUGUCUUCAGGUGUUGGCUGGAACAAACAGUAAGUUUUCUCAGCAGUGAAGGUUCUGCACUCAUUUCCAACAUGUGGGGUCUUUCCCCACACCAAGCAAUUCUCUGACACUGUCUGGGUGUCCUGCAAUUUAACUCAAUUCUGACACUGUCUACCUGGAGAUAGUGUCAGAUCCCACAGGUUAAGGGCUUUGUCCUACAAGACUGCUCCCCCCUGCCCCACUUCAGAUGCCAGUGGC
ensembl:lncRNA